UGAAUUGGGCCUAGCCCAUUAACUCAGUAUUUUGAGAAAAAAAAAAGAAAAAAAAAAGAAGAAUUUUGUUUUUACGCUCGCAAUGUGUUCGUCGAAAUUCCUGUGUGGAAAAUUUAGUUUUGUGGAAUAUUUUAUUCAGUUGCGUGCUGAACUGGAGGAAGCGGUUUAUGCAUAUCAGAAGAUUUCAGAGAGUGAUGGUUGUUUCGUAAAUACAAAAUGCCAUGAUUCGAUUGUUUGGUAAGUAAAAAGGAUGAUGGUUGAAUCUGCUUGUAAACUGUUCGACGAAAUCCCCCUCAGAGUUUUAUGACUUGAAAGAUAACAGAUGGAACAUGCUGCAUUUUUUUGGCAUAAAAGUAUAUGACAGACGAGGGUCUUGUUACUAUUUCUCGUUGGGAUUAUCAAUAGGUAUAACACUGAUAUUUUGUUAGAGAUUAAGUGCACUAAGUAGUCACUCUUGCUUGGUGGUUAAUUUAAUAUGCUUUAUCUGAUUUCUUUAUAUAUAUUUACACACUGAUAAGUUGUACUAUUAGUUUGGUUAACCUGUAUAACAUUUGUUGCAACAGGAAGCUUUUACAUCCUAAGCAUCUUUAUGGACAAAACCAAUUUAGAUAAGAAUCUGUGACUUUGCUGCGGCUCGUGAACAUUUCUUCCGGCCUGAUUUGGUCAGAACGCAGACGCAAGUCUCCAGAAGCUCAAGAUCUUCU
rnacentral:lncRNA from 1 species